CAACCAAGCGCACGUCACCAAGCGCGUCAUCUGGUUUCGGAAGUGAUGUAACUUCCUGUGGGUUGUGUUUACGUCUACGAGUGUGUGGCUGAGGAAUAUUGUGGAUGUGUCCAGUGACACUUCGUCAGCUUUUCACUGAUACACGUCAAGUGUGCGGAGCGGCGUGAGUCCUAUUGGCAGUGUCACGGAGGUGUUGCAGCAGGCUUUUUGGGCGCUGUUGAGCCUUGCGUCCUUUCUGCACAAUCAAUACUGACUACUGAGCAGCUGCAGUAAUGAACGCAUGACAAGCAGUGCUAUUAUAAAGAUUUUGGCGUUUAUUUCUUCAUGGUGGUCCAGGCUUGACCCGCUCUUCACUGCCUCUUAACGGAUGCAUGUAAUAUGAACUAACCGAAUAUCCUAUCUCCACGAAGGGAGGAUUGCCUUUGUGGUUGGACUGAUAGCGUUCCCGGCCAGUGAGCGCGCAGCUAAAUUUAGCCGUGUUGAUUACUUAACGGUUUGACUACGGUGGGGUAUUUAAAUCGUAUAUCUCUGUAUUGUCACCCCUGUUGUGUUUAUUAUUUUGUUUGAUUUUCUUUUGAUUUUUUUUGAAGUUGUGGUGUGGAAACUCCUAUUUGGGGUUUUUGUAUGAUUUGAUUUGUUUUGUAAAUGUGAUGUUUUUCAUGAUGUUUUGGUGCUGCCUGUUUGUAAGUAAUUGAUAAGGAGAGCCGCUAUAACGAGGUGAUGCUAACUCCUUUGGCAGCGGUGUUCUUUUAUAAAUCAUAGUGUAUUGCUCAUAUGCGUGUCGUUUGUGUGUUUGUCUAAUUUUAUUCUUCUCCCUUCAGAAUUGGGGUACCAGUGCGAGCCAGUGUCUGCAGUGUGUGGUGGUGGGACAGCUGUCAACUUGAAGUGAUCACGAUUUGGUGUGAGGUGUUGUGAGAGAACACGAAUGCUUGCUGUGUUUAGCUAAAAGGCAGUACAACUUCCCCAGUUCUGAAGUGGUAAAACAAGAGUGUGCAU